GCUUCCAUAGCUCAGCAGGUAGAGCACUUCCAUGGUAAGGAAGAGGUUUUGUCGUUCGAGACAAACCUUGGAAGAGCAA
rnacentral:tRNA from 1 species